UGAUUGGCACGACGAACCUCCCAGUAGUCUUGUGUCUCGCGAGAGUUCCGGUUUUCGGCGGUGCUUUGUCAAUUGGUCUGGCUCCUCCGGCUCUUGGAACCUUUUGCCCGGUCGAGGCUGAGUAGGGGGCUGUCUGGUGUCGUGGGAGCGGAGAUGGGCUGGCAGAGACGCUCUGCUGCCACUUGGCAGAAGGACCCCGUGGUAGGAAAGCGAGACCCGAUUAAGCCCUGCCAGAGUUCAAGUGGAGUCACACUUACAUUUUGAACUUCGUUUCUAAUGCAGACACUUAAAGCAGCUCUAUUCACCUCCCAAAAAGGUGUUCAAGCUGAGAUGGUAUAUAUAUGAUGCCGAAACCUUCAUCAACUCCUCCAAAGCUUGUUUGCACUCUUCUGUUUGGACUGUUUUUCCAUGUGUGGCUUGUGAAAUCACAGGAGUGACUGUUGCCCAGGUACAUGAUUUGAGCAGAGUCAAACCUGCGGAGUUGAGUGUGACAAAGGAGAGAGCGUGGAGCCUAGAGGUUUAUUGGGAACCUGGCCCUCUGUUACCGUAG
rnacentral:lncRNA from 1 species